GGGUCGGUGGCGUAGUUGGUUAUCGCAUCUGUCUAACAUAAUGUAAUAGACCGGGAUGUUCUGCACAGAAGGUCCUCAGUUCGAACCUGGGCCGACUCA